GACGAACGCUGGCGGCGUGCUUAACACAUGCAAGUCGAACGGAAAGGCCCUGCUUUUGUGGGGUGCUCGAGUGGCGAACGGGUGAGUAACACGUGAGUAACCUGCCCUUGACUUUGGGAUAACUUCAGGAAACUGGGGCUAAUACCGGAUAGGAGCUCCUGCUGCAUGGUGGGGGUUGGAAAGUUUCGGCGGUUGGGGAUGGACUCGCGGCUUAUCAGCUUGUUGGUGGGGUAGUGGCUUACCAAGGCUUUGACGGGUAGCCGGCCUGAGAGGGUGACCGGCCACAUUGGGACUGAGAUACGGCCCAGACUCCUACGGGGGGCAGCAGUGGGGAAUAUUGCACAAUGGGCGGAAGCCUGAUGCAGCAACGCCGCGUGCGGGAUGACGGCCUUCGGGUUGUAAACCGCUUUCGCCUGGGACGAAGCGUUAGUGACGGUAAUGGGUAAAGAAGCACCGGCUAACUACGUG
rnacentral:rRNA from 1 species